rnacentral:tRNA from 1 species
AUUCGAGUAGUUUAAUUAAAAUACUGAUUUGUGGGGUCAGUGAUAUGGGUGUUCAUCUCGGAUC